UUUUUUUUUUUUUUAGGGUAACUGAGGAAUCAGGAGAGAGAGGGCUCUCUGUCUCCCAAUUCCUGACAUAUACCUCAGGCUUUUCACUCCCCUCACCUUUGGCUGAACCUACUCAGCCCUCUACAGGGACCACAGAUCUAUGAGACCUACAGAAUCCUCCUGGAGUGCUGCCUUUAUCCUCUCUUGAGUAAUUUAGGCUGAUGUCAUUACAUCAGUGACUUCCAGCAGAAUUCACGUUGCCAGGUUUAGCAAAUCCAAAUAUAAGACUACCAGUUAAAUCUGAAUUUCAAAUAAGAUCUUAGAUAUUUUUAGUAUAAGUAUAUCCCUUAUGAUAUUUGGGAUAUACUCAUACUAAAAAAAAAUUUUUUUUUUUUGCUUCACUGAAAUUCAAAUUUAAGUAAGUAUCCUGUAUUUUAUCUGGCAUGUCCACCCAAAAUUCUAGCAUCAGAACCAAAUUUUGUUGACAUAAUACUUCUAGAAAGAUUUGUCUCCAGGCAUGAUCUCUCAGAGGUGUGUGAGAGGUGUAUUUCAUCCCACCCUUGGGGUAGAUCAUGGCUUAAACAGCAGAAACUCUAAGCUCACAUGGACAAGAUCUUACACAAGAUUUAGUCAAAUAUUUUCAUUGGCAAAUAUGGAAGCCUGGAAAGAUUAAAUAAUUUUCCCUCCUAAGUGGCAGAAUCAAGACUAGAAUAGCAUGUUUCCCCUGCUUCCUCCCUGACAAGAAUUUUCUUAUCAUGAACUUUAUAUAUAACACACAAAACUUCAGGAGCCAACUGAUGAAGUGGGUACUAAAUUCCAAAAUAACUUUGCCAACUUAAAAAGAAGAAAAUGGGAGUUCCCUGGUGGCCUAGCGGUUAAGGAUCCAGGGUUGCAGGGUUGUCACUACUAUGGCUUGGGUCACUGCUGUGGCACAGGUUCAAUCCCUGGCCCAGGAAAUGCCAUAGGCAUGGUCAAAAGAAAAAAAUAAAAAGGAACAAAAUGAGUAAAAAGAAUAGCAUAAUAAAGAAAGAGUCGGCCUUUGUGAAAUCUAACUUUGCAAUGUACUUUUUUUUUUUUCUUUUCCAGGGCCACACUUGUGGCAUAUGGAGGUUCCCAGGCUAGGGGUCAAAUCAGAUCUGUAGCCACCGGCCUACACCAGAGCCACAGCAACGGGGGAUCUCCAAGCCGCGUUUGCGACCUACACCACAGCUCAGGGCAACACCAGAUCCUUAACCCACUGAGCAAGGCCAGGGAUGGAACCCACAACCUCCUGGUUCCUAGUCAGAUUCGUUAACCACUGAGCCACGAUGGGAACUCCUGUAAUGUACAUUUUGAAUCUUAUUUUGAAAUUCUGUAAUUAAUUACUUUCCAAUCGGUCAUCCAGAAAACACUUGCUCCAAUUUGAAAGCUCCAUGAAGCAGCUUAAUUCUUCUUAGCACAUCUAUCACUGGGCCAAGCAUGCCUCACUGCCAGCAGAUACCAGCAAUGCUACAAAGGUGGGAGGAAGCGAAUGAAAAGAGCAGCAACUCUGAAAACGAAGAUGCUUCCUUCGCCCAGUGUGUAUCUAGGGGCUAUGGGAAUGCUUCGAUUUCUAAUGAUCCCCGUUGUUGUUUGAAAAGCACAUUGCAACACUAAAACCUAACAGGGACUCUCACCUAGCAGCAAACUGGGCCAGAUUGUUGGACCUUUAGAGACUUUUGUUAAAAUGCCCUCAUUUUCUAGAAAUGGGAUCCAAAGUGUAUUCUCGUUUUAAGGAACUCCUACUAUUUUAAAGGCUUCAGUGGACACUUCCGAUACUCACCGCCCCCCCCCCAUGGAGUUUUCCCCCAAAUUAAUGUCCAAAAGAGAAAAUAUAGCCAGCUUCAGAUCCCAAGGUAAUCUGGGACCCGCACAAGGCCUGUGUCAGUUGGGAUGCUGUGGCUACAAAUAGCAAGACACCCAUCCAAAAGUGCCUUGAAAAAUAAGUUUUUUUCAUGAUAAGUUGAGAGAAGGAUGGUCUGGGUGAUGUUUCAGGAGCUUCCCAAUGUCAGAGCUCUGAGUCAACUUCCCACUUGUUUUCUCCACCUGUGCCUCAGGACUACAAGAUGGCUGCAGCAGCUCCCUGUGUGAUAAACUUGCACUUGAAAUCCAAAGCAGAAAGAGAUUUUCCUUACUGGAUUCCUUAUCAUUGAAGAGAAAAAUCUUUCCUAGAAAUUCCCAGUAGGUAUCUGCUUGUGUCUCAUGAAACAAAGCUGGGUCACAUGCAAGGGAGUCUAGGAAAGCAAGAAUCCAGAAUGUUUAGCUUCUUUGUAGGGAGAUGAAGGCUAUGACGUUAAGGAAAGACUAAUUGCACAUUAGCGCCCCACCAUCACUGCAGGCCCAAAGCAUCCCCACAGGCCUGGAUGUCUUUGCAAACAGCUUCAUCUCUUGAUUUGCUUGCUUGCUUGCAUGCUUGCUUUUUUUCCUAUGUUUUUAGGGCCACACCUGUAGCAUAUGGAAGUUCUCAGGCUAGGGGCUGCAUUGGAGCUGCAGCUGCCGGGUGUGGCCCUUAAAAAAAAAGAAUUCCCCCAUUAACCACAGAAGAUAUUCCAAAAACUUUAGCUUAAUCCUUAAAGUCAGCCAUGGUGGGCUGCUGUGGUUAAGAAAAACAGACUCUGUAGUUAAGUGACUUGUGUGAUAUUUGGCUGUUGACUUAACUCUUCAAGAUUCCAUUUAUUCAUCCAUAAAAUAGAUGUGAGAAUAACAUUUAGCAUGCAUGGUAAAUAUUAAUGAAUGAAUGAAUAAAGACAGUUAUUUUUGUUCUUGUUCUUAAGUAGCAGGUGCUCUACUGUGUACUUAGAUGUGGGGCAGAGAAUUCCUGUUGUGGCUCAGCAGGUUAAGAACCCAGUUAGUAUCCAUGAGGAUGUGGGUUCAAUCCCUGGCCUUGCUCAGUGGAUUAAGGAUCCAGCGUUGCUGUGAUUUGAGGUGUAGGUCACAGACAAGGCUCAGAUCCAGUGUUGCUAUGGCUGUGGCCGACAGCUAGAGCUCCAAUUUGACCCCUACCCUGAGAACUGCCCUAUGCUGUGGGUGUGGCCCUAAAAAAGAAAAGAAAAGAAAAAAGGUGGGAUAUAUGUAUAUAUACGGUGGCUGCCCUCAGUGAGCUAAUUUCAAUUGCUGAAAUAAAAUUCAACCAUUCCAUUGGCUGAGUGCACCUCUAAUCCACCAUUUAAUAUCCAUUUUCUAAGCUGACUCUUUGUCUUCCUCUGUGUUACUCAGGAGAGUCCCAGGGGCAGCACCACUUUGGGCUUACUUGUUCUUCAAGAAAGCAUCCUGUAAACAAUUAUUUUGUCCACAAGAAGAUCUUCAUUCACUCUGAAGCCAUAACCCCUGGCUCAUGCCUUGAUUCAUUCUCUCAAUGCACAUUAUGCUUCCCACCAGAAGCUGGUAACAGUCUUUAUUUAUCUUCAUCUGAUAUCUGUGCAACUUCAAAAACCAGAAAUGGAAAGACAUGAUGGCUCUUUAUUUCAUUAGGCCACCACUAGAUUGUUGCUGCAAAUUUUAAGUCCCAGAGAUGAAAAAGUCACACCAGGAAUCAAAUGGACCCGCCAAUUACAUUCUUGUGACUUACCUUUUUCACCUUUACAUUUCAACUCCUCUUAACUUGACUCUUUUGCCAGUUUCCACAAACCAGCCACAAUAAAAGACAGUGUUGUACACUCAUUGUGUGUGUGUAAGGGUGUCUCUUUAAAGCUAAGCUAGAUCCAUACUCUGCUGAUACCUUCUGGCCGUAAGAGAAUUCCGUACAACUAAUACUUCUCUUGCCUCUGAAAUUCUCCAAGCAGUGAGAGGCCAGGAGAAUUCCUCAGUUUACCAGUUGACUCUGGCAAAGUGCUGGCAGAGAACUGAGCCCUGCCCUCCCUACCUCCUUCCUCCAGGGGCAGGCAUGAGUUUCUCCAGGUUUCCGGUCUAUGCAGGAACACCACGUGGUUAAGGACACUGGCUCUGGAACUAGACCACGUGGGCUCACAUCACACCAUGGUUGUGCAACUUUGGGCAAUUCACUCACUUAUUUGUGCCUGAGUUCCCUCAUUUAAAUUGAGGAUAAAAACCAACUGACCUCAUAGGAAGUGUUGUGAGAAUCACGAGAAUUAAUGCACAUAACGUGCUUAGGGUCCUGUCUGUCGUAUGAUUAAGAGCUCUGUAUGUGUGAGCUGUUGUCAUUACUAAUACUCUUUCCCUUGGCUUGGCCACCUAUCAACAGUCUUGAUGGCUUGCUGGAACCCUUCCUAAACAUUCCCCAAAGCUCUCUAUUCAAAACCUCAAGCCAGCCUAUGAAUCAACCAAGUUCAUUCUGUAGAAAGGAGUCCAAGAAGGAUAAAUGGGUCAUGCUGGAUACGGUGGGGCGGAUGCUUUAUUAGGUUCUUAAGAAAUCUGAACAACAGAAAUAAAUGCAAACUGCUUUGCUUGAAGGGAGUCCAUAUUUUAUUCCUCUCCCACGAAACAAUGUUCUCCUUAAAAGUCAAACAGCAUCUUUCUCACUGCCUUCUCCUAUGAGCGCCUACUCAGAUAUACAUGCACUAAGGACACUGUGAAUGUCUGCACAGUUCAAAUAGCUUUGGCUGCUUAAAAACCAGACUUUUGACAAGUCCAUUAAUCCAAGGAUCUCAGUCCUAAGGUAGUGCUCAAUUUGCCAAGUCACAACUAGAACCCCUCUGUAUAAAGUUACUAUUAUGAUGAAAAUGCGGUCUAUUUUUAAAAGCCUUUCUGGUGGUCCUUUUUCUCACUUAAAAAAAUAAAUACUAUAAUGUAUACACUGAAACAAUUUGCCUCCGGUACUGUAAGUUCUUUUUACCAUAACAAUAACUCUAAACGGCACAAUAUGGUACACUAAGAAUAGGCUGAAAGAAGCAGACUGUGCCAUCUUCAUAGUUUGGGGAUCAACAAAACAAUUUACAAGGCCCAUAAAAGCCCAUGAUGACAAACCUAGUGAAAGUUCUUUUCACCUAAAGACUAUAAAAACACUGUGGCUGAGUUACUUGUUUUUCAGGCCUCUUAGUUCACUAAACGGCACUAAUGAAAAGCAAAAAGACUGAAAGAUAAAAGGAUGGCAAGGAACUAAGAGAGCAAAAGCCACAGAAUAAUCUGAAAUUGGCUCCAGCCACCCUUUGAGAGUUGCCUGAUGGAAGCAGGGAACCCCAGUUUCCACUCUAUAGUUCCAAUUCUUUUUUUUUUUUUUUUUGUCUUUUUUGUUCUUUUAGGGGCACACCGGCAGCAUGUAGAGGUUCCCAGGCUAGGGUUUGCUGAGUCAGAGCUACAGCUGCCAGCCACAGCCACAGCCACAGCAACACAGGAUCCUUAACCCACUGAGCGAGGCCAGGGAUCGAACCUGCAAUCU
rnacentral:lncRNA from 1 species